UACGUAGGGAGCAAGCGUUGUCCGGAAUCAUUGGGCGUAAAGCGCGCGUAGGUGGCCCGGUAAGUCCGCUCUGAAAGUCACAGGCUCAACCUGUGAAAGCGGGUGGAUACUGCCGGGCUAGAGUCCGGAAGAGGCGAGUGGAAUUCCUGGUGUAGCGGUGGAAUGCGCAGAUAUCAGGAGGAACACCGAUGGCGAAGGCAGGUCUCUGGGCAUUAACUGACGCUGAGGAGCGAAAGCAUGGGGAGCGAACAGG
rnacentral:rRNA from 1 species